UGACGUUAGCUAGCGCUGCAGAGAUGGGGUGAGCGUAAUAUGAGUAACUUUAGAAAUUACUGUGUUGGCAGUUGCACUGUUUCUCUUUCGAAGUUACUCAGAUGCUUUGGGAGUCAUCAUUUCAAAAUCUGAGCUGUUUUUACAGAUCAGCAUAUGACAAACUGUUUCUGUGUAGUAUGACCCGCACUUCCUGUGAUAGCUUAGGGUACAGUGAUUGCAUUUCCAAGGAAUUUUUAAGCUUUUAUAAGUAUCAAAACCUCCAGCAAAUCCUCCAGCAGGAUCUUCCUCUUCAAGAAGAAAAAGGGCUUUUUAGUUUUCACAAUGGGUCACCACACCAUGUAGCUCCACGAGAGUUUUUACACUGGAUUCCCUUCUCACAACUCCAAAUGAAUUUGUGCCUCCUCCCAGGAACAAACUGUAAGAGAAAUGUAUAAAUCACUACACUGUGGAGCUAAAGGGAUCUUCCUCUUUUACCACAGUAAAAUAAAAAUGAUGAAGUGGAUGAGCUGGUAGAUCUGUAAACAGAGGUGAGGAACCUUGACCUGAAGGUAGCUGAGAGUCCUCCAUUGUAUCAUCAGAGUCUGGCAGAGGUGGAGAGGAAUAACGGUAAGGUUAAAAACUGCUUUUGGGUGGAUAGAGUUUGAGAAUGAAGCUGUAGGGCUGGAGGGAGGUGUCAGAAUUUGCAGAUGAAAAUUUGGCUGGCUCCCCGCAGAUCCUCCAGAGGUCUAUCAGAGUCUUCCUGCAGAUGCUACAGUUAAUCCCCAUCAUUCUUUUCAGCAUCGUUAAUGUCUGGAUGGCUAGCUGGAAAGUGAAAAGGUGUAAGCUUCUGUCUUGAUGCGGCCACCUUCAAAGAUUUUUCCGUAUUAAUGCUUUAGCAGGUGUUGAAGAUGUAUGGUGGCAGAUUCUGUAGGAAAAAAUUGUUUUGUCACCAUUACUGUCUCAUUUGAAUUGUGACAGCUUUAGAAGAGUGAAGUGAUAUUUCCACCAACUUCAUCCACCUUCCCCACUCAAGCAUCCACCAGCAUGAUUAACAUGGUCUUGAACACCUUGCAGUCUGAUGAAACACUCCAGAGCAAAGUACUCUGAGGCAGUCUCUUCGACAGACUCACAUCUUUGACUUGGAUGGAAGCCAUCGGCCUGGGGAAGUGUUUUUGAAUAUAAAAUAGGAAACAUUUUUAGCACUAUCAAUGUAAUGUAUACUUUAUUAAUCCGCGUAGGGAAAUUACUUCUCUGCAUUUAACCAAUUCACUCAGUGAAGCAGUGGGCAGCCACCAAUCCAGCGCCCGGGGAGCAGUGCGUAGGGACGGUACCUUGCUCAGGGGUACCUCAGGGUAGCCGUUCAGUGGAUUCUUCUGAUCACUCUACCUACUGAGCUAUCCCUGCCAUCUUCUUUCCAAAGAGCUCUAAGUUGCUAGGGAAGGUGCACAAUCUCGGAUGUUAACAGACACAGGUACAAACAGAAUCCCCCUUGGACAUGUUUCCCCAUCUUCCACUCAUUGGACAAGACUCUGAGCACCACUCAUCUAGAAGAGACUCAGUUGGUAGCAACUAGAUAUGGCAGAGAAAUAUCACAGCCUU